rnacentral:rRNA from 1 species
GAUGAACGCUGGCGGCGUGCCUAAUACAUGCAAGUCGAGCGAACAGACGAGGAGCUUGCUCCUCUGACGUUAGCGGCGGACGGGUGAGUAACACGUGGAUAACCUACCUAUAAGACUGGGAUAACUUCGGGAAACCGGAGCUAAUACCGGAUAAUAUAUUGAACCGCAUGGUUCAAUAGUGAAAGACGGUUUUGCUGUCACUUAUAGAUGGAUCCGCGCCGCAUUAGCUAGUUGGUAAGGUAACGGCUUACCAAGGCAACGAUGCGUAGCCGACCUGAGAGGGUUAUCCGCCACACUGGCACUGGGACACGGUCCAGACUCCUACGGGAGGCAACAGUAGGGAAUCUUCCGCAAUGGGCGAAAGCUUGACGGAGCAACGCCGCGUAAGUGAUGAAGGUCUUCGGAUCGUAAAACUCUGUUAUUAGGGAAGAACAAAUGUGUAAGUAACUGUGCACGUCUUGACGGUACCUAAUCAGAAAGCCACGGCUAACUACGUG